rnacentral:rRNA from 1 species
GAGGAAAGCUGGCGGCGUGCCUAAUACAUGCAAGUCGAGCGAACAGACGAGGAGCUUGCUCCUCUGACGUUAGCGGCGGACGGGUGAGUAACACGUGGAUAACCUACCUAUAAGACUGGGAUAACUUCGGGAAACCGGAGCUAAUACCGGAUAAUAUAUUGAACCGCAUGGUUCAAUAGUGAAAGACGGUUUUGCUGUCACUUAUAGAUGGAUCCGCGCCGCAUUAGCUAGUUGGUAAGGUAACGGCUUACCAAGGCAACGAUGCGUAGCCGACCUGAGAGGGUGAUCGGCCACACUGGAACUGAGACACGGUCCAGACUCCUACGGGAGGCAGCAGUAGGGAAUCUUCCGCAAUGGGCGAAAGCCUGACGGAGCAACGCCGCGUGAGUGAUGAAGGUCUUCGGAUCGUAAAACUCUGUUAUUAGGGAAGAACAAAUGUGUAAGUAACUAUGCACGUCUUGACGGUACCUAAUCAGAAAGCCACGGCUAACUACGGG